rnacentral:rRNA from 1 species
AUUGAACGCUGGCGGCAUGCCUUACACAUGCAAGUCGAACGGUAACAGGUCUUCGGAUGCUGACGAGUGGCGAACGGGUGCGUAAUACAUCGGAACGUGCCCAGACGUGGGGGAUAACGAGGCGAAAGCUUUGCUAAUACCGCAUACGAUCUAAGGAUGAAAGCAGGGGACCGCAAGGCCUUGUGCGUUUGGAGCGGCCGAUGGCAGAUUAGGUAGUUGGUGGGAUAAAAGCUUACCAAGCCGACGAUCUGUAGCUGGUCUGAGAGGACGACCAGCCACACUGGGACUGAGACAUGGCCCAGACUCCUACGGGAGGCAGCAGUGGGGAAUUUUGGACAAUGGGCGAAAGCCUGAUCCAGCAAUGCCGCGUGCAGGAUGAAGGCCUUCGGGUUGUAAACUGCUUUUGUACGGAACGAAAAGGAUCUGGCUAAUACCUGGGGCACAUGACGGUACCGUAAGAAUAAGCACCGGCUAACUACGUG